UGGGGGAUUUUGGACAAUGGGCGAAAGCCUGAUCCAGCAAUGCCGCGUGAGUGAAGAAGGCCUUCGGGUUGUAAACUGCUUUUGUACGGAACGAAACGGUCUUUUCUAAUACAGAAGGCUAAUGACGGUACCGUAAGAAUAAGCACCGGUUAACUACGUGCCAGCAGCCGCGGUAAUACGUAGGGUGCGAGCGUUAAUCGGAAUUACUGGGCGUAAAGCGUGCGCAGGCGGUUAUAUAAGACAGAUGUGAAAUCCCCGGGCUCAACCUGGGAACUGCAUUUGUGACUGUAUAGCUAGAGUACGGCAGAGGGGGAUGGAAUUCCGCGUGUAGCAGUGAAAUGCGUAGAUAUGCGGAGGAACACCGAUGGCGAAGGCAAUCCCCUGGGCCUGUACUGACGCUCAUGCACGAAAGCGUGGGGAGCAAACA
rnacentral:rRNA from 1 species